UACAGAGGGUGCGAGCGUUAAUCGGAAUUACUGGGCGUAAAGCGCGCGUAGGCGGCUUUGCAAGUCGGGUGUGAAAUCCCCAGGCUUAACCUGGGAACUGCAUUCGAGACUGCAUUGCUAGAGUAUGGGAGAGGGAAGUGGAAUUUCCGGUGUAGCGGUGAAAUGCGUUGAUAUCGGAAGGAACGCCGGUGGCGAAAGCGACCCGCUGGACCUCUUCUGACGCUGAGGCGCGAAAGCCAGGGGAGCAAACGGG
rnacentral:rRNA from 1 species